GCGAUGGCACGAUAACUGAGCAUUGAUCGCCAAAAACAGUUUAGUUUGCAGAUCUGUCCAGUGGCAUGCGUCACAACUCUAAUGGUAGUCUGGUGAUCUCUCGCUACACGGCGACGGGCCGCACGCACGAUUAAUGUCAUCUGUGACACGAGUUUCUACCGCCGUACGAAAUUAGUA
rnacentral:snRNA from 1 species